rnacentral:rRNA from 1 species
GAUGAACGCUAGCGGCAGGCUUAAUACAUGCAAGUCGAGGGGCAGCGGGGGUAGCAAUACCUGCCGGCGACCGGCAAACGGGUGCGGAACACGUACACAACUUUCCUUUAAGUGGGGAAUAGCCCGGGGAAACCCGGAUUAAUACCCCGUAACAUUAUGAAAUGGCAUCAUUUUAUAAUUAUAGCUCAGGCGCUUAAAGAUGGGUGUGCGGCUGAUUAGGUAGUUGGCGGGUAACGCCCACCAAGCCACGAUCAGUAACUGGUGUGAGAGCACGACCAGUCACACGGGCACUGAGACACGGGCCCGACUCCUACGGGAGGCAGCAGUAAGGAAUAUUGGCAAUGGACGCAAGUCUGAACCAGCCAUGCCGCGUGGAGGAUGAAGGUCCUCUGGAUUGUAAACUUCUUUAUCUGGGAAAGAAAUCCAUAUUUUCUAAUGUGGUUGACGGUACCAGAUGAAUAAGCACCGGCUAACUCCGU